GGAACCCGACCAGCGAUGGCACCCGACCUGGGCCAGUCCCCUGCCGGGGCGAGGGCCGGGGAAAGUCCGAGACCACCGAGUGAAGCUGCGUGGCUGACCAACGCCUACCUGAACCGCAUGCUUCACCAACACCGCCUGCUGACCUCCAUGCUGCUCCAGGGGUUAAGAAACCAUCUUGCAACCCGCAGGACCAGAGUUCGACUCCUGGAGAAGGAAGUAAGGCUCGACGCGCCACGCCAAGACUGAGCCCGCGCUGCAACUACUGAGGCCGAGGACCCCAACUAGAGAGUCCGCAACGAGGGAUCCCGCACCACGCAGUGAAGAUCCCCCGUACUGCCAGUGAAACCUGCCGCAGCCAAAUAUAUGAAUAAAUAUUUAAAAGCAGAAAAAA